rnacentral:sRNA from 1 species
ACAGAGAAAUGGAAGAUA